rnacentral:tRNA from 1 species
GGUGGCUCUGUGGUAGAGCACCUGCCUUGCAUGCAUGAGACCCUGGGUUCGAUUCCUCAGCACCA